UAGAAACCAUGAUUCUUUUCCAGAU
rnacentral:piRNA from 2 species